rnacentral:rRNA from 1 species
CCUACGGGGGGCUGCAGUGAGGAAUAUUGGUCAAUGGACGCGAGUCUGAACCAGCCAAGUAGCGUGAAGGAUGACUGCCCUAUGGGUUGUAAACUUCUUUUAUAUGGGAAUAAAAUGUUCCACGUGUGGGAUUUUGUAUGUACCAUAUGAAUAAGGAUCGGCUAACUCCGGUCCAGCAGCCGCGGUAAUACGGAGGAUCCGAGCGUUAUCCGGAUUUAUUUGGUUUAAAGGGAGCGUAGGUGGGUUGUUAAGUCAGUUGUGAAAGUUUGCGGCUCAACCGUAAAAUUGCAGUUGAAACUGGCAGUCUUGAGUACAGUAGAGGUAGGCGGAAUUCGUGGUGUAGCGGUGAAAUGCUUAGAUAUCACGAAGAACUCCGAUUGCGAAGGCAGUUCACUGGACUGCAACUGACACUGAGGCUCGAAAGUGUGGGUAUCAAACAGGAUUAGAUACCCUAGUAGUC